AACGAACGCUGGCGGCAUGCCUAACACAUGCAAGUCGAACGAGACCUUCGGGUCUAGUGGCGCACGGGUGCGUAACGCGUGGGAACGUGCCCUUAGGUUCGGAAUAACUCCGCGAAAGGGGGGCUAAUACCGGAUAAGGUCUUCGGACCAAAGAUUUAUCGCCUUUGGAUGGGCCCGCGUUGGAUUAGGUAGUUGGUAGGGUAAAAGCCUACCAAGGCGACGAUCCAUAGCUGGUCUGAGAGGAUGAUCAGCCACACUGGGACUGAGACACGGCCCAGACUCCUACGGGAGGCAGCAGUGGGGAAUAUUGGACAAUGGGCGCAAGCCUGAUCCAGCCAUGCCGCGUGAGUGAUGAAGGCCUUAGGGUUGUAAAGCUCUUUUAGCCGGGAAGAUAAUGACAGUACCGGGAGAAUAAGCCCCGGCUAACUCCGUG
rnacentral:rRNA from 1 species